GCCCGCGCGCCGCGCCAGCCCUGCGGCCCGGACGCCCCCGUGGGCAGGCGCCCCGGGAAGAGCCCGCGCCCCGAGAGCCGCGGCGUCGCCUCUCGGGGCGGGGGGGGGGGGGGGCGCGCGGGGGAAAGGGCCCCCCAGCGCGCGGCUCCCCGGGCGGCGCCCCACGCGCCACCGGGCCCCGCGUGGCCGGAGCGACUUUCGCUUUGCUCCCGGGGACGGGAGCGCGCAGCGCCCCCUGGGGACCGCGGGGUGGCUCGGGGCCGCCACCGGGUCGCUGUGCUAAGGCGCGGGGACGGCCGCCUGGUCCCGCGGUCCCCGCGGGUGGAGAAGCCGGGGUCUGAGUCCGGGGCGUGCGGGGCACGUCGGCCAGGCCACCUCAGUUUGGCCUUUGCCGCCGCUGAGGAGCGCCGAGGAGAAGGGGAAGCCUCAGAACUGGCGGGACAGGUGUGCCCCGCAUGGAACAGAAUGCCUGCGCGCCAGACUGGCGGGUUGCAAAAGACUGGACCCAACCUAACUAUCCGCCCUCGGGAGACGCUCCGCUCCGUAGGUUACAGCGUAUCCUGCAGGAGAGUAGCCCCUCUGCCUCCGCAGGCCCGUCUCUCAGAUACAAUGUGACAGCCAAGGAAGGCGGCGGUGGGGAGCCCAGGCUACACUGUAUCCCUGGAGAGCACGCAAGGCGCGAGGAGGAGCCAGGCCCAGAGACUCACCGAGACAGAGAUGCAGAGACACACAGAGAGAGCAUGGGGCGAGGCCACGCCAUCAGGGCGGGAAGGAAACAGAAUGGCCACUGAAAUACUCUUGCGGGCCGUUUAGACUUCUUGCUGUAUACAUACAGUAUCACAUUUCACAAAAGAAAUUUAAAUUGAACACAGCGGGCACAGAUUCUCAGAAAAAGAGCUUCCCGCCCGCCUGCUUGCCGGCAGGGGAGCGUCUCGGGAACACGCGUCCCCAUCCUUUGCCGCUGAGGACACGUGGGUGUGGGUGGGAGGGCCAUUUGCCACCGAACAAGCCGGGCCUUGAUUCCAGCUUUCUCAUUCCAAGUCCAAAGCCAUUUUGGUCCUGCCACCCCACAGCUCAGAGCCCUGCUACCCUCACUGUUGAGACCGUGCACGAGUGGGAGAGAGGGGCAGAGAGAGAGAGAGAGAAAGAGGGAGAGAAUCCCAAGCAGUCUCCAUGAUCAGUGCAGAGCCCCCUACAGGGCUCAGUCACCCGGCCCUGGGAUCAUGACCUGAGCAGAAAUCAAGAGUUAGACGCUCAACCCACUGAACCACCCAGGCGCCUCUGAAGAUUUCAUCUCAAGAGGAAACAACCCCAGUGUCCCUUGAUAGAUGAAUGGAUAAACACAGGCGGCCCGCCCGCACACCGGACGCCUUCCAGCCGCGAGGAGGAACGAAGCCCCGCGCGCGGCCGUGCGGACGCACCAUGCACACGGCGUGCCCAGGACGCAAGUCAGACACGGGCGAUGUACUGCGCGAUCCCACUUGCGUAAAACACCCAGAGGAGGCCAGUUCGUAGGCACAGAAACUAGACGAGAGGUUCCCGGGGGCCGAGGGAGGGAGGGAGCGGGCAGUGGGUAUUUAACGGGGACAGAGUUUCCGUCUGGGAAGAUGGGAAAGUUCAGGAAACAGUUGUGGCGAUUGCACAACACCGUGAAUGUACUCGCUGCCCCCGAUCCGUCCACUUAAAAGGGCUGCAGUGAGGGGCGCCUGGAUGGCUUGGUCGGUUGGGCGUCCGACUUCGGCUCAGGUCAUGAUCUCACGGUCCGUGAGUUCGAGCCCCGCGUCGGGCUCUGUGCUGACAGGUCAGAGCCUGGAGCCUGUUUCUCCUGUGUCUCCCUCUCUCUCUGCCCCUUCCCUGCUCAUGCUCUGUCUCUCUCUGUCUCAAAAAUAAAUAAACGUUUAAAAAAAAAAAAAGGGCUGCAGUGAGGAGUCUCGUCUCACGGGUGUUGACCACCAUCAACAACCAAAGAAACACAGGCAGGGGCAGGAUGCUUUCUGGGCAGCCCACCCCAAGUCCUCCACCCGGGAGCCUCCCCAGCAGCGCCAGCCACCUUCCCUCCUCCUUCUGAAUAUUGUUUUCCUGACUCCCGGCCAAGGACUUGAUGAACUUUGGGGGAGUUGUGAUUUCUUUUUGUUUCUCUGAGAACAUCCCCGUUCAGUGUCCCGCUUCCUGGAAACAGAGAACAGGGGCCGAUCCAGGGGAGGAGCGGCUCUUUGUCCUAGCUGGGGACGUGACUGGCCCAGAGUCAGCGGCGGCACCGAGUCGGGUCUGGACCUGGCUGCUGGCCCCCCCGGGCUGCGUCGGAAGGGUGGGAGUCGGGGCCCACGACGCACAAACGUGCCCACAGGUGCCUGUGGCCGGGGGCCCUUCGCGUGUUUCUACCGGGAAUCCAGUGGGGCCCGAAACCCACACCUGCUGGUGGAGAAGGUCACAGGAUGAGGAAUCGGCAUUUUCCACGUGAACCCAGCUUUUAGCGGUCUGUCAGCAGUUUCCCACCCGCCCGCCCUCCCCCCACCUCAGCAGUAAAGGCGACUGCAGCUGCAGGGGCCGGCGGGAGGGACUGAGAUGAGCGAGGAGCAGGUGGCCCGGACCCGAGCAGCGGACUCCCCAGACCCGCAGCAAUGAGUGGGACCAGUGUCCGGUGUCCCCGCGGCUGACAGGCCCACGGGGCAGGCAGGGGUGAGAGGCUCCAGGGAAGGGGCUGGGGGCUCUGGCCAGGCCUCCACAGCCGGCCCCACAUCGGUGCCUGCUGCCCUUCCCGCUCUGCCCACGAGGGCAGGAAGGAUGACGGUGCCCGGCAGCCACGGGGACAGGGUGAGGGAGAGAGGCUGGCACAGAGCAGCAGAGGCCGGUGGCUGCGUCGCAGAGGGCGCCUGACCUCGGGGAGCACGGUUCCCCCUGGGAAAUGGGGUCGUUUCCAGCAUCCAGUUUUUGGGGUGAGAGGGGGAGCUGUGGAAAAUCAAAACCUGCACAAAGCAGGUGAACGAGAGAAGAGGGAACAGGUCAAACGUGGACAGACCCCUUGUCUGGCGAGAACAAGAGGCCCCCACGGGGCCAUC